rnacentral:rRNA from 1 species
UGAGUACGAGACGCUAAGGCGUUGAAGCAGUCUAUGUCAGACUUCCAAGAAAAGCUCGCAAUGUCAUAAACGAAAAAUGCCUGUACCAUAACCGACACAGGUGGGUAGGUAGAGUAUACUAAGGGGCGCGAGAUAACUCUCUCUAAGGAACUCGGCAAAAUGACUCCGUAACUUCGGGAGAAGGAGUGCCUUAUUUUUAUAAGGUUGCAAUAACAAGAUCCAAGCAACUGUUUACCAAAAACACAGGUCUCCGCUAAGUCGUAAGACGAUGUAUGGGGGCUGACGCCUGCCCAGUGCCAGAAGGUUAAAGAAGUUGGUUAGUUUCGGCGAAGCUGAUGACUGAAGCCCUGGUGAACGGCGGCCGUAACAAUAACGGUCCUAAGGUAGCGAAAUUCCUUGUCGGGUAAGUUCCGACCCGCACGAAAGGCGUAACGAUUUGGAUACUGUCUCGGAGAGGGGCUCGGUGAAAUAGACUUGUCUGUGAAGAUGCGGACUACCUGCACCUGGACAGAAAGACCCUAUGAAGCUUUACUGUAACUUGAGAUUGAAAUUGGACUUUAUUUGCGCAGUAUAGGUGGGAGACGUUGAGAAUAUUCUUGCGGGAAUAUUGGAGUCAUCAGUGAGAUACCACUCUUGUAAUGUUAGAUUUCUAACUUUGUAUCAUUAUCUGGUCAAAGGACAGUUUCAGGCGGGCAGUUUGACUGGGGCGGUCGCCUCCCAAACGGUAACGGAGGCGCACAAAGGUUUCCUCUGAACGUGUAGAAAUCGUAUCUAGAGUGUAAAGGCAUAAGGAAGCUUGACUGUGAGACCUACAAGUCGAGCAGGGACGAAAGUCGGUCUUAGUGAUCUGACGGUGCUGAGUGGAAAGGCCGUCACUCAACGGAUAAAAGUUACUCUAGGAUAACAGGCUGAUCUCCCCCAAGAGUUCACAUCGACGGGGAGGUUUGGCACCUCGAUGUCGGCUCAUCGCAUCCUGGGGCGGUAGUACGUCCCAAGGGUUGGGCUGUUCGCCCAUGAAAGCGGUACGCGAGCUGGGUUCAGAACGUCGUGAGACAGUUCGGUCCAUAUCCGGUGUAGGCGUUAGAAUAUUGAGAGGAGCCUUCUUUAGUACGAGAGGACCGAGAAGGACAUACCUCUGGUGUACCAGUUAUCGUGCCAACGGUAAACGCUGGGUAGCUAUGUAUGGAGUGGAUAACCGCUGAAAGCAUCUAAGUGGGAAGCCCACCUCAAGAUAAGUAUUCU